rnacentral:rRNA from 1 species
CUUAACACAUGCAAGUCGAGGGGCAGCAUGGUCUUAGCUUGCUAAGGCCGAUGGCGACCGGCGCACGGGUGAGUAACACGUAUCCAACCUGCCGUCUACUCUUGGACAGCCUUCUGAAAGGAAGAUUAAUACAAGAUGGCAUCAUGAGUCCGCAUGUUCACAUGAUUAAAGGUAUUCCGGUAGACGAUGGGGAUGCGUUCCAUUAGAUAGUAGGCGGGGUAACGGCCCACCUAGUCUUCGAUGGAUAGGGGUUCUGAGAGGAAGGUCCCCCACAUUGGAACUGAGACACGGUCCAAACUCCUACGGGAGGCAGCAGUGAGGAAUAUUGGUCAAUGGGCGAGAGCCUGAACCAGCCAAGUAGCGUGAAGGAUGACUGCCCUAUGGGUUGUAAACUUCUUUUAUAAAGGAAUAAAGUCGGGUAUGCAUACCCGUUUGCAUGUACUUUAUGAAUAAGGAUCGGCUAACUCCGUGCCAGCAGCCGCGGUAAUACGGAGGAUCCGAGCGUUAUCCGGAUUUAUUGGGUUUAAAGGGAGCGUAGAUGGAUGUUUAAGUCAGUUGUGAAAGUUUGCGGCUCAACCGUAAAAUUGCAGUUGAUACUGGAUAUCUUGAGUGCAGUUGAGGCAGGCGGAAUUCGUGGUGUAGCGGUGAAAUGCUUAGAUAUCACGAAGAACUCCGAUUGCGAAGGCAGCCUGCUAAGCUGCAACUGACAUUGAGGCUCGAAAGUGUGGGUAUCAAACAGGAUUAGAUACCCUGGUAGUCCACACGGUAAACGAUGAAUACUCGCUGUUUGCGAUAUACAGCAAGCGGCCAAGCGAAAGCGUUAAGUAUUCCACCUGGGGAGUACGCCGGCAACGGUGAAACUCAAAGGAAUUGACGGGGGCCCGCACAAGCGGAGGAACAUGUGGUUUAAUUCGAUGAUACGCGAGGAACCUUACCCGGGCUUAAAUUGCAGAUGAAUUACGGUGAAAGCCGUAAGCCGCAAGGCAUCUGUGAAGGUGUUGCAUGGUUGUCGUCAGCUCGUGCCGUGAGGUGUCGGCUUAAGUGCCAUAACGAGCGCAACCCUUGUUGUCAGUUACUAACAGGUUCCGCUGAGGACUCUGACAAGACUGCCAUCGUAAGAUGUGAGGAAGGUGGGGAUGACGUCAAAUCAGCACGGCCCUUACGUCCGGGGCUACACACGUGUUACAAUGGGGGGGUACAGAGGGCCGCUACCACGCGAGUGGAUGCCAAUCCCAAAAACCUCUCUCAGUUCGGACUGGAGUCUGCAACCCGACUCCACGAAGCUGGAUUCGCUAGUAAUCGCGCAUCAGCCACGGCGCGGUGAAUACGUUCCCGGGCCUUGUACACACCGCCCGUCAAGCCAUGGGAGCCGGGGGUACCUGAAGUGCGUAACCGAGAGGAGCGCCCUAGGGUAAAACUGGUGACUGGGGC